AAUCAACGCUGGCGGCGUGCCUCAGACAUGCAAGUCGAACGAUUAAAGCUCUCUUCGGAGAGUGUAUAAAGUGGCGCACGGGUGAGUAACACGUAAGUAAUCUACCUUCGAGUGGGGAAUAACGUCCGGAACGGACGCUAAUACCGCAUAAUGCAGCGGCAUCGCAAGAUGACAGUUGUUAAAGAUUUAUCGCUUGAAGAGGAGCUUGCGGCAGA
rnacentral:rRNA from 1 species